rnacentral:rRNA from 1 species
UACGUAGGGGCCUAGCGUUGUCCGGAUUUAUUGGGCGUAAAGAGCUCGUAGGCGGUCUGUUGCGUCCGCUGUGAAAACCCGGGGCUUAACCCUGGGCUGGCAGUGGAUACGGACAGACUAGAGGUAGGUAGGGGAGAAUGGAAUUCCCGGUGUAGCGGUGAAAUGCGCAGAUAUCGGGAGGAACACCGGUGGCGAAGGCG